ensembl:lncRNA
GAGCCGAGCUGAUUGCCUGCGUGACGAGGGCCGUGGCGGCUGGCAGCUUGGCCCGCGGUCCUGGGUAGCCCUGGAGCGGGAAAUGCCUCCUUGAGAGCGCAUGGCUUCAAGCUUCUUCCUUGCGCUCCUGAUCUUAGGCUGGUCGCUUUUACCUUUAGGUUUAAGUUGAACACAGUUCACACUGGGCGCUUCCUCCCCGUGUUUCUGGAAUUCCAGGCAACAGAUUUAACACUUUAUGAAUCUUGAAGAGCUGCACUACUGCUAAAUAUUGGAGUUAAUGCUGAUCUUUUGGAAGCCUCCGAAGGCUACGAGACUGUGAUGGGAGCCUCUGGUUUCAGUUGCCUUUCUCACACCUUAUUUUAAUACUCAAGGGUCUCACUCUGUCACUCAGGCUGGAGUGCAGUGGUGUGCAUACAGAUCACUGCAGCCUCAACCUCCUGGGCUCAAGAGAUGCUCCCACCUCAGCCUCCCAAGAAGCAUGGAUCGCCACACUGCACCUGGCUAAUUUAAAGAUAUAUACAUUUUUGUAGAGAUGGGAUCUUGCCAUGUUGACCAGGCUGGUCUUGAACUCCUGUCUCAAGCAGUCCUCCCGCCUCAGUGUGAACCACAGUGCCCAGCCCCUACUUCUUGAAAUCAUGGGUGACAGCUUGCAUAAGUAUCCUGAAGUAUUUCUUACACAGUAUCUUCUAAGGAGACCAACAUUUAUUUGAGAAGGAAAGCACCUGUUCUUCCCACAGCAGUGGCAGUAGUACAUCAACGGUGCACAGCUGAAUUGGGACGGGGCCAGGACAAAGCAGAAAUCUGCUGCAGAGACCAGGAAAGAUAAAGGAUGUUCUGUAGCAGGAUCUGGGCAAGCAGCACUCAUCCAUAUCCUUUGCAUUGCAAACAGAGGAGCUACCUCCUUCCUUUUUAUUUUCCAGUUUAUUAAUGGCUCCUAGAACCUCUGAGAACUAACUGAUUUUGACCUCUUAACAGUUGCCUUUCAACUGCCAUUCAUUCACUGCAAGCCUACUGUGUAAAUGGGCCCUGGCUAACCACUUCAGAUAUAUUGUCUCUUGUCCAGCUUCAAGUGACUCUCUAAGGGAGGAAUUAGCCCCACCUCACUAGUAUGGAAAUGGAGACUUGGAGUGAUCAAGUGACUUGCUCUGAGUUACACAGCUGGGAAGUGGUGAAGCUGGAAUUCAACUCAAGUUAUGUCUAGAUCUAAAACUCAUGCUGUUUUCUAUGCUCAAAGCUGCGUUUCAAAACUGAACUUUAGCAUGGAGUCUAUGAUGAUUGGCUCGUGUCUUUCCACCCAGCACCUAGCCCAAGGCCAAGCACAGAGAGGGCUCACAGUGGACACUUUUGGAAUGAGUAGAUUCUGUAUGGAAUGGUUGGUAAAUGAAGGCCUGGGCACGGUGUGAACAGUGUUAUGGGACAGCAGAGGGGGUGGUGGCUGAUUAGGGGAAAUGGAGAAGCCUCUGCAGAGGAACAGAGUUGAGUGAGGCCUGGAGAAAUAAGUAGUCAGAAAAAGACCGACCAAUUCAGCAUUCUCACAGCAAAGACCACUAACAGGCAAUUCACAGAACAGAAAACCCAAAGGCCAUGAAUAGGUGCUCCACAUCACCAACAGUCAGAAAAACGCAAAUUAUCUCAUGCACAGUAGAUGAGAAUACAAACUGGAAAAGUGUGUUAGGAGAGCUAUUUGGUAGCAUCUAUCACAAUUAUAAAUGAGGUAUGUUCUUAAAUUUAUGUACAAACAUUGUGAUAGAAAAAAAUGGAAAUGUUCAUUAGUAGGGAACAAACUAAACAAGAACACGUUUAUACUAUUAAAAAAUAUUAUGCCACUUUUGGCUGGGUGUGGUGACUCACGCCUGUAAGCCUAACACUUUGGGAGGCUGAGGAGGGCAGAUUUCCUGAGCCCAGGAGUUUGAGACAAGCCUGGGCAACAUAGCCAGAUGCAGUCUCUAGGGGGGAAAAAAAAAAAAAAAA